AUAGACUAUAUAUUACAUGGACUGCCAACUCUACGCACUAAGCCUAUAUUUUUCAAUAAACAAGUCCCGUUCACAGAGGCGUCCUUGGUUGCAAGGUAAAUUGACUUCCGGUAGAUUUUUUUUACUAUAUAAAGAAACCAUUCCCGAAGAUUUUAUACCACCACUUUUACAGCAAAUCAUGAAUGGAAACUGAACUGUUAUAGAAGAUGUUACAAAGGAGCAUACUACUUCCAAAAACCUGAUUUGAUUGUCACUAACUUUCAAAUUGAAAGGGAUCUACUAAAACUGCUCAUGAAUUUUGAGAUUUUACAGCUAAUAGAGGAACAAAUUUUAUCUGCUUCCACUUAGACAAACAUUUGUAAUGAGUAGAAGAUCUUUGUCAUUUAGAGUAUCAUGUGUCAUUGACUUAUGAAAACAAAAU